rnacentral:rRNA from 1 species
ACUCAAAUGAAUAGACGGGGAGGCACACAACCAGUGGAACAUGUGGUUCAAUUGGAUACGAACCCAAGAACCUCACCAGGGUUUGACAUGCUAGAGUUCUAUUUCGAUGAAAGUCGGAAGAUGCGCAAGCAGGCUAGCACAGGUGCUGCAUGGCUGUCGUCAGCUCGUACCGUGAGGUGUACCCUUAAGUGGGACAACGAGCGCAACCCCUAUCUUGUGUUAGAUAUGUCACAAGAGACUGCUUUGCCUUUGGCGAAGAGGAAGGAGGGGCAGACGUCAAGUCAGCAUGGUCCUUAUACCCUGGGCCACACACAUGUUACAAUGAGGAAGACAAUGAGCUUAGCAAGCCAGCAAUGGCAAGCAAAUCUCUUAAACUUUCUCUCAGUAGGGAUUGAGGUCUGCAACUCGACCUCAUGAACACGGAAUUGGUAGUAAUCGCAGGUCAGCUAUACUGCGGUGAAUACGUUCUUGCCUCUUGCACACACCGCCCGU